rnacentral:rRNA from 1 species
CUUGCUUCUCUUGAGAGCGGCGGACGGGUGAGUAAUGCCUAGGAAUCUGCCUGGUAGUGGGGGAUAACGUUCGGAAACGGACGCUAAUACCGCAUACGUCCUACGGGAGAAAGCAGGGGACCUUCGGGCCUUGCGCUAUCAGAUGAGCCUAGGUCGGAUUAGCUAGUUGGUGGGGUAAUGGCUCACCAAGGCGACGAUCCGUAACUGGUCUGAGAGGGUGAUCAGUCACACUGGAACUGAGACACGGUCCAGACUCCUACGGGAGGCAGCAGUGGGGAAUAUUGGACAAUGGGCGAAAGCCUGAUCCAGCCAUGCCGCGUGUGUGAAGAAGGUCUUCGGAUUGUAAAGCACUUUAAGUUGGGAGGAAGGGUUGUAGAUUAAUACUCUGCAAUUUUGACGUUACCGACAGAAUAAGCACCGGCUAACUCUGUGCCAGCAGCCGCGGUAAUACAGAGGGUGCAAGCGUUAAUCGGAAUUACUGGGCGUAAAGCGCGCGUAGGUGGUUUGUUAAGUUGGAUGUGAAAUCCCCGGGCUCAACCUGGGAACUGCAUUCAAAACUGACUGACUAGAGUAUGGUAGAGGGUGGUGGAAUUUCCUGUGUAGCGGUGAAAUGCGUAGAUAUAGGAAGGAACACCAGUGGCGAAAGCGACCACCUGGACUAAUACUGACACUGAGUGCGAAAGCGUGGGGAGCAAACAGGAUUAGAUACCC